rnacentral:rRNA from 1 species
AGAAUCAACGCUGGCGGCGUGCCUAACACAUGCAAGUCGAACGAGAAAGGGGAGCAAUCCCUGAGUAAAGUGGCGCACGGGUGAGUAACACGUGACUAACCUACCCUUGAGUGGGGGAUAACUGAGGGAAACCUUAGCUAAUACCGCAUAAUACCCACGGGUCAAAGGAGCAAUUCGCUCGAGGAGGGGGUCGCGGCCGAUUAGUUAGUUGGCGGGGUAAUGGCCCACCAAGACGAUGAUCGGUAU